AAGCUGGUGCUACAGACAAAGAUCUGGGAGUCAUGCACACGAAUAUGUGUCCUUGAAACCUUGAGCAUGGCUGAUAUAGUCAAGGGUGAAUGGAAAUAAAGAGGAACACAAACCAUAGCCCUUCAGCUACUUCUUGGGGGCUGGGGGAGGAAAGGGAGAAAGAGCAGGAGCAGUCCAAGAAGUAAAAUCAGGAUGGCAGAAUGCCCAGGAGCCAAGCAAACAGAGACUUUCCAGAAGGCGGAGAUGGCCAGCCAUAGAGAGAUGGGGGUGGAGGAUGGGAAAAACUCUCCUGUGAAGACUCGUAGGUGAUUAGUACCGGGGCUGGUGUUUCCCCGGGUUUAUAAUGGAUCUCCAUGAAAGAUACCCAGGGAGGAUAUUGAGCCAGCCUGUGGGAUUUGCCUGGAGAUGUGUUAUUGGGUUGCUUCAGAAAGCAGGAAGGUAAAGGCACUUAUGAUUAAGGCUGCUAAAGACAUUCAUGUACAAACCUUGGUGUGAACAUCUAUUUUCAUUUCUUUUGGCUAAAUGCUGUUUCCUUUAGAUUGGUGGCCGUCAAACUGUUCUGUGCAAGUAUCAAAUUCUGUGGGUCAUUUCUGGAAAGAAGUGAGAACCGUGGCUGUCCUGAGGAGCUUUGUAUUCUCAGUGGCUUAAGUGAGGUGAGCGCCGUGGCAUCAGCCUAGCUCAUAGCAACCUCAAAC